rnacentral:lncRNA from 1 species
CUGAUUAUUCCAAAAAUAUCAAUGCAUUUUACUAAAAAUAUGAUAAAAUGAUAUAAAAAAAAAUAUGAGAAGCUUCUAGUCGUGUAGAUAUUUUCAAGAGGUUUCUAAAAAUGUACACCACAAUAUCCGACAAGUUUUCACUCUCUUCUUAUGCUUGAAAAAUGAAGCACAGUAUCUCCGAUCCAGCACCAGCUCAUCGACUCUCUGGGCUCCAAAAUCAAUAACAAAAUGG